UACGUAGGGUGCGAGCGUUAAUCGGAAUUACUGGGCGUAAAGCGUGCGCAGGCGGUUUUGUAAGACAGGCGUGAAAUCCCCGGGCUCAACCUGGGAAUGGCGCUUGUGACUGCAAAGCUGGAGUGCGGCAGAGGGGAUGGAAUUCCGCGGUGUAGCAGUGAAAUGCGUAGAUAUGCGGAGGAGCACCGAUGGCGAAGGCAAUCCCUGGGCCUGCACUGACGCUCCAUGCACGAAAGCGUGGGGAGCAAACAGG
rnacentral:rRNA from 1 species